GGGAAAACCCAUGAAUGCUCACUAGACGGUGUUCUUUUCCUCAGCUGAAGGAGACUGGUUUCUUACUCUUUGAAAAGACUUGCAGGGAGAAGAAGUGAUAAGAGAAGGUGAAAAUUAGAGUUGCAAGAAGUCUUCAUUUACACUGGUGCAUGUUAUGAAGCCCAGUGUUGAUCUUUAAAAAGUUCCAAGCCAAUUAAAAGGCUAGAGGAGUUCCAGGCUAUCCAGGCUAUCCA